rnacentral:lncRNA from 1 species
GCCCCACAGCUCUCGCGCGCCGCGACGAGCAAAACUCGUAAAAACAGAAAACUUACGGAACAGAAGUCCGUCUCAAAAUAAUUCCAAAACUUAUCGCCGAAUCUUUUUCCGCGACUGUAAUUUUCUUCCACACUCUCGAAAAUUAUUCUCAGGACAUAUCCUAACUCGCGCAGAUAUAUAUAACUUCCACCCAAAAUUUUACUGAAUUCCGAAACCGUAAAAUUUUACGACAGCGGGUAAACUAUUGCCCGUUUUCUCAAAAACUAGCAUAACGCGAAAAAUGAAAUUCUAAAGACACAGGAUCAUCCUCAUUCCUAUAAGAAGACUAGGAAAACAAAUCCCGUGUCAUUCUGACACUCGAACACAAAACAGGCACGAUCUCAGCAAAAUAUAUCGUAAUAACGACGAUACUCGAACUAAUAACUCUCGAACUCUAAUCAACCUAUCUAUAACUAACGGUCUUCCAUAAGACAAAUCCAAAUAGCAUUCCUUAGCCCAACAACAAACCUCGGAAACGAAAUCUACGCGAAAAACUAAGCAACAAAGGACCCGGGUGCAUAAACCCCUAAAGUCAACUAAAA